UGCGGGAUAGAGGAGCUCGGUCGUCCUCGCUGGCCUCAUAAGCCUGAGAUCGCGGGUUCGAAUCCCGCUCCCGCUA
rnacentral:tRNA from 2 species